rnacentral:rRNA from 1 species
CGGUGUUCAACUGGCGUGCCCGCGGGACGUCCUGCCGGUGAGCUCAGCCCGCGAGGGCGGCUCAACUUGAAAUCCCAUCGCGGUGCUCUUCAUUGAGUGUCGAGGUGGGCCGGGCACGAUUACUUUUGAACAAAUUAGAGUGCUUAAAGCAGGCUAAAAUUUUGCCUGAAUACUGUGUAUAUGGAAUAAUGGAAUAGGACCUCGGUUCUAUUUUGUUGGUUUUCGGAACCCCGAGGUAAUGAUUAAUAGGAACGGAUGGGGGCAUUCGUAUUGCGACGUUAGAGGUGAAAUUCUUGGAUCGUCGCAAGACGGACUAAAGCGAAAGCAUUUGCCAAAAACGCUUUCAUUGAUCAAGAACGAAAGUUAGAGGUUCGAAGGCGAUCAGAUACCGCCCUAGUUCUAACCAUAAACUAUGCCAGCUAGCGAUCCGCCGACGUCCCUCUGAUGACUCGGCGGGCAGCUUCCGGGAAACCAAAGCUUUUGGGUUCCGGGGGAAGUAUGGUUGCAAAGCUGAAACUUAAAGGAAUUGACGGAAGGGCACCACCAGGAGUGGAGCCUGCGGCUUAAUUUGACUCAACACGGGAAACCUCACCAGGCCCAGACACUGGAAGGAUUGACAGAUUGAGAGCUCUUUCUUGAUUCAGUGGGUGGUGGUGCAUGGCCGUUCUUAGUCGGUGGAGCGAUUUGUCAGGUUAAUUCCGAUAACGGACGAGACUCUGACCUGAUAACUAGACGCACUUGCGGCAUCUCAAAGGUCCGCCGGCGGCUGGCUUUGCGCCCGUCGUCGCGCGCGAUUUUUACUGCCGGCGUACAAUAAAUUCUUCUUAGAGGGACAAGUGG